rnacentral:rRNA from 1 species
AUUGAACGCUGGCGGCAUGCCUUACACAUGCAAGUCGAACGGCGGCACGGGUGCUUGCACCUGGUGGCGAGUGGCGAACGGGGGAGUAAUACAUCGGAACGUACCUUAUCGUGGGGGAUAACGCAGCGAAAGUUGCGCUAAUACCGCAUACGCCCUGAGGGGGAAAGCGGGGGACCGUAAGGCCUCGCGCGAUUAGAGCGGCCGAUGUCUGAUUAGCUUGUUGGUGAGGUAAAAGCUCACCAAGGCGAUGAUCAGUAGCUGGUCUGAGAGGACGAUCAGCCAAACUGGGACUGAGACACGGCCCAGACUCCUACGGGAGGCAGCAGUGGGGAAUUUUGGACAAUGGGGGCAACCCUGAUCCAGCAAUGCCGCGUGAGUGAAGAAGGCCUUCGGGUUGUAAAGCUCUUUUGUCAGGGAAGAAACAGCAGCUCUAACACAGUCUGCGAAUGACGGUACCUGAAGAAUAAGCACCGGCUAACUACGUGCCAGCCGCCGCCGUAA